UAUAUACACACAUAUACAUACAUAUAUGUAUAUGUAUAUAUUAAAAUUACCAAAGCAAAUUAGAUCAUAUGAAAUAUCACCUUAGAAGAUUUUAAUAUAAAUAUUUUCAUUGAUUGCAAUUUAAACCAACUAACUUUUAGGAAUAUUAUAAAAGAAAAGCAUCACAUUACAAUCAUAAUUAAAUAUUACAUGUAAUAUGAAUAAUUACAUGUAAUUUAUGUAAUUAUUUUUAAAUAGAGAACUUGUUUAUGUUUCAAAAUUCAAAUUUUGUAUAACUAAUGGCUUUCAUUUCUUUCUAACUUCUGAGAUCCAAGAGAAACCACCCACGAUGAGAUAGGUGGCCACAGAGAUGCAGUCAAUAUGUAGUUAUUUCCAAGUGGCUUGUCUGUACUGAAAGUGCUGAAAUAUAAAGAAAAAUUAAAAUGGCCUAACAUAUAAUUAGUUCAAUGAUUAUUAAAUUGUAUUUUCUUCCCCAUUCUACUGACUAUUGCAGGAAUUGUAUUAAACAUUAUAUUCCAGUCUUCCCAAGACAGCUCACAGCUUGAAGAAAUCCUCAAUAGCCUAUACCAAUUAAUACGUCCUUACAGAAUAAAUAUAGCUUGUCUUUGGAAAAAAAAAAGAAUUGAAUUAACUAAAACCAUUAAUUAGUACUUUAAAAAAAUGCUUAGGAAGAAUUUUCUAGUGCACAGCACUUUAGUAUCUAAAGUGUGUGAGUUUUAAGAACUUUUAAAACUUUGUGUUCAUUUUCUUAGUCCAAGACAGUUGUGCUAAUGUAUUUUUUUAAUUAGAUAUUUUCUUUAUUUACAUUUAAAAUGUUUCCCUUUUCUAUUUUCCCCUCCGAAAAUCCCCAUCCCUUUUCCCCUCCCCCGGCUCACCAACCUACCCAAUCCAGCUUCCUGGCCUUGGCAUUUCCCUAUACUGGGGCAUAGAACCUCCACAGGACCAAGUGCCCCUCCUUCCACUGAUGACUGACUAAGCCAUCCUCUGCUACAUAGGCAGCUAGAGCCAAGAGUCCCACCAUGUGUUUUCCUUGGUUACUGAUUUAGUCCCUGGGAGCUCUGGGGUAGUAGUUAGUUCAUACUGUUGUUUCUUCUAUGGGGCUGCAAACCCCUUCAUCAACUUGAGUACUUCUCUAGCUCAUUCAUUGGGGAUGUGCUAUUGUCAUAGGAGACGAUUACCAAAGCUAAGGCUUGUAUUUAUUCUUACCUAUACUAUUCAGUUAUGAACUUUGAACAUGUUAAUAAUGUCCUAAGAUUUGAUGGAAUGCUUCUUGAAAUUGCUAGUAAGAGCAAAUAUUAGACAAUGUUAGAGAAAUGUUUUGUUAGAAAAAAAUACAAAUGGUGACUGGUUGGGUUGGCUAUACACAGCAUUCUCAAACCUGUCGCCUUUUAGAAUAAGAUGUUUAAAAAUAGAAAUCUUGUGUAGUGCUAUGAGGCAGUAGGAACCUAUGAAACCACACCAAAUAUAUUCUCAGAAAACUCUGCCUGAUCAAAUGACUCCAAAGCCCCUUGAACAUUAAUUGUAACAUACAUGAAAUUAUUCCCUCUCAGGAGAGUAAGAGCACACAUUUUGAUGUUUCUCUCAGAAUAACUUUAAACUUGUGCUAUGAAGAACUUUAAUUUUUUUUAUUGUUUUAAGUUUUAUGUUGAAAUUGUAGUAACUAAAACCUCACCAAUUUUUGGACCAUUUUUAUCUUUCAUUUAAUAUGCCGAAUAAGCAGAGGGGAUAAACGAUUCCGAAUCAAUUUAAAUGAAUUGAUUUACUAUUACAUGAACUACAAACCAUAUUCCUUACAUAAUUAUUUACAUAUAAAUUUAUGCAAUGUAUAGAAUUCACUAAAACAGUUUUUAACAGUUUAGGGUUUUUAUUUAUUCUUCUGUACAUAGUGCAGUUGGUAUUGCUUAACUAAUCUAGAGAAUGUGGUCUGCUUUGGCAAUAUGGAGGACACUCAUAUUCCAGGUGUCACAGUGUAAAAGAAAACGGAUUCUCUCUUUCUUAGCAGCUAUGUGAUCCCAGUAGCUCAUCAGCUGGUGGUGUGAUUUCACUACUGCAUUUUAAGUUCAGCUCCUUAGGCAUUGUUUCUCAUCAAAUAAGACAUUUUAUUCGUAACUAAUUUUGACAUAAGUGGGGGAAACCGCUAUAUUUAGAACUGAUUCUCUAGAGCUCUUCAGAUUUUAGGUUGAAUACUGGGAUUCUUUGAGAUGUCUUUUCUCCUUUCUACACUCGGUUUUCUCAUCUUCAAAGUGACAAGACUUGACUUUUGUAUUAUUUUCUUUGUUAGGUAAUUUUGGGUGCCAUGAGUAUCAAUAUUAUACUAGUUAGUGAGUAUUGUCUAGAUAAUCAUCCGAUGGCUAUAGAAUUUCUCAUUUCACGUGAAAUUAUUUUUUUCAGUGAGUUACUUCUCAUCAGAGUUGGGCACACUGCAUUCUAGUUAUGACUUCUUUAUGGAAUACUUGGAAAUCUUUUAAAAUAUAAAUUUAUCAAACUUCACAUAACACAUCCUGAAAUCUUAGUAUAGGCUCAGAUAUUUCUUGAGAUAAAGGAUGAAAUCUAUGAUAUAGACUUGGACACAGUGUGUAAAUCCUUCCCCAUUGUGGCUAAAUUUGUCACAUAACUUGAUCAAUAAUUCUCCCUGGGAUUAUCAAUAAUCCUGUCCAAUCAUGCCUCUGCACUAACGCUAUGUCUGCCUGCAAAUUGUCUUAGUUUUCUUACUCCCUUUGUCCAGUCCAUUUGUACUAGACUCAUUUUUUAAAAUCAGUUGUUAUUUUUUUAUCAGGAAAGAUUUUUCCCAAGCCUAAGUCAAAAAUUUCCUAAAUUACCCUUUUAAAUUAUUAAUUUACUCCUUAGCACUAACCUUAACUGAUUAUGCAUUAAUUUGCUCAACCACAUAUCUCUUAAUAAUUCAAGCACCAUGAAAACAGACACUUUCUUCUGCUUUUUUCAUCUCUAGAAUUUAGAAUAGGCUGGGCAUAUUGAAGGUACUUAUUAAAAACCUUUUAACUUGCAUCACUGAACAAAUAAUUGGAGAUACAUAAUAACCCCUAAGAAUAGGGGUUAAAAUGAUAUAGGAAAGCAUUUAAAGCUCUUCAAUUUAUUAUUAUGAGGUUGCUGAUAUAAAACAAGCCCACCAUAUUUUAACAAAGUAUGAAUUCUUAUGGCCAACUCUUUUCACUUGCUUCGGCAUGCAUGAAUCUUUCCCGAGAGACUUGAGCUCUACAGUCCUGUCUUCCCUAUUUCUGUAAUACUCAAAGCUCUUUCUCUCCUAUGAACAUGAUGUCAGACAGAUGAUGGAAACUCUGAGGACAGAAUGGAUUCAGGGAGAUUAUAUUCUGAGAACAUGUGAGUUCCAGCUGAGACAUUUGAGUGCAAUGGCAUCGUUGCACCGGAUGUCCUAUCACUGCUCUUGCCCCAUGAUAUCUACAGAAGCAAGGCCUGGAUAAUCUCAGGGAAUUAAUGCAAUUAAUUCAUUAAUGGGAAACAUCAUAAAAAUAUUAUUAUAUUGAUUCCCAGUAUACAUAUUAUUUAUAUUUGGCAGAAUUAAUCAGUGAUAUAGACACUCAUUGGUCCUUGGUCUGUAUGCACAAUCUGAACAUGGCUAAGUAGCUGAUACAUUAAACAAAAAAAUUAGAAUCAGAAAUAAUUUAAAACUAAGUCAUCUGGUUUUGCUACAGUUACAGAAUGGAAUCUUGGUUUAUUUUUCUGAACUUCAGGGUCAGUCAUGUAAAAUCAUUACAGCAACAUGUUUUCUUAAAUCUGUUGUAAGGAUUAACUAUAUACAGCUGAUAAAAAGCACCUAUUGUGCCUAAUACAUCCAAAGUCUUCAAUAGAUAUCUACUGUCUUCAUUAAUACAAUCCAAACAACUAAAAUGACUUUUCCAAGCAAGAAAAGUAGAUUUACUUCUUUAGCUAUUUCCAACUAUUAAUCAAAUACUGGGAGAUGAAUAUUUAGCCAAUGUAGAGAAUUAAUAUACAUGUCGUAUAUUUCAUUAUAAUAGCCUUAUAACAGGAGCAAGCUCUUUUCCUAACAGAAAAUAGACAAAUGAUGUACUUUGUGGUUCUAUUGUUCAAGUCUUCUUUCUCAUGAAUAAAUAUUUUGGUUGAACAUUAUUUAAAGCUACACACUUUAACACUGCAGCUUAUGCUUUUAGUGAUUUUAACAGUGAUGGAAGAUUAUUGCAAACACUGAACUGGUGAACUUACUACAACCUUAUUAUGUAGAUGUUGCUGAACACAGGAGCCUACAUUACCUUGUCAAUGCAUUAUCUCUGUGAUUAGUGUCUAUGACCACUUCUCUCAGGAACUGCUCUUUUUUUUUUUUUAAUCAGUUCUUGGAUAUGGAGUUCCAAAAAUCAAUGAUUAUUGACUUAAACUGUGUUUCAAAAUGUUUCCCUCAUUAUUGUUUUUGUCGACUUUAAUUGAAGUGAUGUCACAUUCUUUAAAAAAAGGUCAUUGUUAACUGAAAAAUAUAGUAUGGGUUAGCUCAUAGAUACUUUUCUUAAGCAAAUAUUUAUAUAUCAACUGUCUUUAUAUGCACCAACAAUAAACAAUGUGAUAGAAAAAUUAACAGAUUCACAAAGAAACUUUAUUUAAUGUGUGGGUGUCUACUCUCUUCUCCUUAUAAGGAAUUUGAGAUGAGUACCAUAUCCAAGACAGGACUCUGGGUUGUCAGAACACAAACAGUACAAAGAAUUCUUAUUGCUACUAUUUCUCAGGUUGAAACACCAGGGAUAAAUAUAAUUUGAGAGCAAUGAUGAUAAUAGCUUGAGCAUAAUUAAUUUUUGUCAUAGAAAACCAAAGUCUUAGGCAUGCUUGUAUCAUAGAAAGAAGUAUAGAAUUACAAGUUGACUCUUAGUUUUGAAAAAAAUUAGAUAUUUAAAGAAUAGUAAUAAUGUAUACAGAGAUGGACUUGUAAUAAAUAUUAUAGGAUAUUUAAAUUAAAUUAAAAGUGAGAGGACCUAUGAAAACUUUAGCUUCAACCAAAAACAUAAAAAGUCACUCUAUUUCACAUAUUUAUAUAUUUUGUCCAGUUUCUGUGAAUUUAAGGUUAAUUUGUCUAUAUGAUGAGAAAUAGAGAAGGGGAGUAAUUUGUUGGAAAACUAUUCUUACCCAACUCCUCAGAAAUGAUCUUCAAAGACUAGAAGGAAAACUACUGGCCAAAAAUAUAAAGUUUGUUUCUGAACUGAUAUAAAUGUUCCAUUAAUCUAUUUAUUUGUAUCUAUUAUAUUAUGCCAGUACCAAACAUUGUUGGUGGAUAGUAAUUGGAAAACAAAGAAGUAUGAAUUCUCUAAUAUUUCAAUACUGAUGUCGCUGCCCUUUGAAUUUCCAUUUGAAUUUUAAUAAUAGCUUGUCAUCUCAUAAAGCAAUCCAUUUGAAAUUUGUGUAGGCAUCAUACUGAGAGUGUAGAUCUGCUGGAAAUGUACUGCAACAAAAUACUUCUAAUUUUAACAACAGACAUUUUAAAACAUAUUUGCAUCCUUUAUUUUAUGAUUUAGCUUUCAAAGGUGAAGUCUUAUACUACAUUUUAAAUUUUUAAAAGUGAAACUGAUGCUAUUGUACAUGAAAUUAUUUGACUAGUCAUUUAAAAAUUUUUAUUGCUUAUGAAAUUGUGACUUUUCUAUUGUUUCAUUGUCAUAUAUUCUUCAUUUUGGACGAAAUUAUCUAAGAAAUCAUUAGUGUGUGUGUGUGUGUGUGUGUGUGUGUGCUGUGUGAAAGUUCCUUUGUAUUCUCUUGAAACAAAAGUUCAUCCUCGAAAAAAUAAUUGAUCUUGGAUUUAUAUGAGUUUACAAACUAAAGACUUCAAAAACAACAACAACAAAACCCUAAAUCCCUCCCUAGACCUUCUAAGGUAACUUGUAAUAAAAGUGGAAAGUGUGGUCAUGUUGUUUUUGAUAGUCUUUGAAUAGAAUGAACAAAAUCUAAAUUCAACUAAUUAAUAAACUCUGUCCUGUAGAUGUCUAAAAUUUACAUUUAAAUUUUCAUUUAUUAUCAAGAAACUGGUUUUACUUGGUCAAGAAAUAUGAUGAUAAAUUAAUCAGACAUGUUAUCAGAGGCACCCUUUGGCAUUUAAUAAUUUAUUGGAGCAUGACAUGCUUAAUAAUAUUAUAUGUUGGAUAAACCUUAGAUAUUCCAUAGGCAGGCUGAUCAGACUUACAUGUAUACUACAGUUUGAUAUUUCAGGGUUAUAAAAGUUUUUAUAAAUGCUGUUAUUAAAGAAUGCUUAACUUAUUCUUCAAUUUAAUUGCACACAUGCACUGCACCCCCCUCACUGUCCCUCUCAUUGUCUCUCUCCAUUUUUCUCUCUCUCUCUCGAUUUCUUCCCCUCUCACGUGUGUGUGUGUGUUUCACUAUUUAGACUAGAUAUUUUUAGUAGGAAUAUUUUGGCAGGAAUCAUCAUCUGAAUAUAGACUACCUAUAUUAUCAAUUAGAUUUGAUUCCAGGUCUGUUUCUCAUAUGCUUUUUAGCAUGGAAAAGUUAUUUAAUUUGCUGCUCAACAGCUUUUAAGAUUUUUGGCAUCAUCCAUGUCUUUUGUUUUUGUGUUUUGUUUGUUUAUUUUACUUUUUUCCUUCUUGUUAUUUUUUCUUUACAUUUUGCAUUCUGAUAUCUGUAUAAUUGGAUUCUAUUCCUGCAUAUCCUGCUUAUCUUUGGUUUCUUGUUGCUCAUAUGUUUAAAUAUUAAAGUUCACAAGAGAAGCUUUUUGUUUUUUGUUUUGGUUUUGCCAACCUCAUCAGCUUUUCUGUGCACUGGAAAAUGUUGACCUACCAUAAUUCUUCUUUUAAUAGUAAGUAAUUACACAUGUAUUCAAGACAGUCACAUUUUAUAUGGACAUGAAAGUUGCUGCCACUUCACCAUGAUUUUUUUUACUUUUAUAAUAUUUAUAUUAUAUUUCUUUUUAAUUUUUUAAUUUGAAAUAGAUUUCCAUCAUUUUUCCAUGUCAUUUCUUCCUUUCAGCUCAAAAUCUCCCCAUUGCACUACAACUGCAAGUUGAUCAUCUGUUUUCUUUGAUUAAUAUCACUACACACACACACAUAUAAUUUAUGUAUUUACACAAAUGCAUGUAGAUACAAGUUACUUAAUUUGGAUUUGUUCCUUAAGUGUAUAUGGUUUCAUGGCUGACCUCUGCAUUGAAGAGCCAGUUAAAAGAACCCAUCCCUGGAAAUUGUUAAUUCACCUUCUCCCUGCAAUCAUUGGUGGUUUGUAAUUCUUUGUGUAGUGCGGGACACCCCCAAAAUUUCUGCUUCCAUCAUAAAAUGUCUAUUGAUUUUUCUAUUGUUCCUGUCUUGUUUAUGCAGCCAUUUCUAGGACAGACUGUUUUAUUACAGAUGUCCUAGUCUCCUGACUCUAAUAUGUCCCCUCUUCUUCCUUGAUGUUCCUUGAACCAUGGACAAAGGAAUGGUCAAGUAGAUGUAUGCAUGGCAUAUGAGCUCCCUAUAACUUGUUGAUCUCUGCACUGUGUUCAGUUGUGGGAUCGGUGAUGGUUUUCUGUGAUGGAUUCUUUGAAGAGUGAUAUUAUUUUCUCUUCUACCUUUAUGAGAAUUUGCAGUUUUCUUUCUGAGUCUUGGUUAUCUUGCUCAGUAUAAUCUUAUCUUGGUCCAUACAUUUAUAUGUGUAUUUCAUAAUUUCAGCCCACAAGCCUGGAGCCCAAUUUUUAAGUUGAUUCAUGGAGUGUUUCUCAUAAAUGAAACUAUGUCAUAGGUUUCUGGACCCCACACAUGAGAUUCUUCUAUAGAAACAACAUAUCUACCAUACAUUACUAUUUAUUUUUCAAUGGUACCAUCUUAAAAAUGAAAGAUAGAGUGUAGCUACCCAGGGCAGAUACAAUUUGUUUCUCAAAACCAAAAAGAUUAUAAAAAUCAUAGAGACCAAAAAGUCUGGUAUAAGAUUGUCUACUAGAAAUGGCUGCAUACACAAGACUUUUUAACAAAGAUGAUUUCAACAGAUAUGCUAAGGUGGAAAGAGUUGAGGAAAGAUGACAUCUCACAGGAAACCAAGUCUAAACAAACAACUACAAGUAACUAAUGAUUUCUGAACCAGAGAGAACUAACGUCUCCUAAAGAUGUACACCUAAUUUGGUAUCCAAUACAAAAUGGUCAACCCUGAGAUUAUAUAGACCCAUAAUCAACAAAAGCAGACUCAUCGGGUUUUAUUUAUAUAUUUGUGAAUAUUUAACAAUAAUGGUCAAAGAGCAAGAGAGUAUCAAUUUGAGAGAGGACAUGGGAGAGUAUGGAGGGUGAAAAGGGAAGGAGAAGUAUAUAAUGAAAUUUUAAUUAAAAUCUAUUAAACACAAAAUACUGAUACAUCUAAGUAUCUACUUUUCCAGCUUUUUGUUCCAUGUCUAUAAUAACCACAAAGUCAACUGUAGUUUUAAUUAGAAAUAUAGAAGGAACUUGUUCUUUUUCUUUCUGGAUACCUGUUAGAGGAGUAAUGGAAUAUAUUAAAACAUCAAGCAUGUCUUUAUGGAUAAUGCACACAGGAUAUGUUGUAAUAUUUUAAACAUUAUUAUUAAUAUUUCAAACCUAGGCAUAUGGUAUUACAAAUCCAUGCAUGCUACCUCUCUUUGAAAAGACACAAUGUAUUUUCCUUUAUUUAUCAUCUGUCUUUGGUCUUGAAGCAAGACCAACAUGAUAUCUUUCUCUGUAACCUAGGGCCUUGAAAGUUGUUGUCUCUGAAUGGCAUGUGGAAAUCCAUUAAGUCACUUUACCAUCCUGAAAAGCUACUUCAUAUAUGAUUUUUCAGGAAAUUAGGGCACUAUUCAGAGCCAACCAGAGGACUUCACAUUUGCUUCUGUUGUGCUACAUUUUAGAGAAAGUAUCUUUUAAACCUAAUCAAAUGGCUAUUUCUAACCCUCAUAUUCCUUUGUGGGUCUUGUUAAGGUAGAAAGGAGACUUUUCAGCAGUCACUUUGUGACUAGUCAUUAGAAUUCUUUUUCUGGCACGAUGUUUAACUCAAAUUGAGGGAAAAUUACCUAACGUUCCUUGGAGACCAAUUGCUUCCAACCAGACUACUUAUUAAAUAAUUCCAGUUCAGACCCACAAUUGUAACAGGCACCUUCGUCAUCCCUUCCCUGAGAACAAGCACAUUUUUAUUUCAACUGAUCAUUAAAUUCUGUAAAUUGAUUCUGUCUCUGUGAAGUUGGGUAAUAGUUCUUAGAAAGUGACUACAGGCUAACUUCACUGAUGAGCAAUGAGAGCCUUUGCUCAUUUUGACCUUGACAUCCCAAAGGGAUCUUAAUGAAAUAUAAUCUAUUUAAGUUGUUAUAGAUGUUUUCACAGUUUCCACAACCUCUCUUUCUCACAUCUUGCCAAAUAGUUCUAAUUGCUGUUCAAGCACACAUUUGACACUGAUUUAGGGUGUUAUGUAGAAACAUAGAUAAUAAUCUCUUCUUGAAAAGUAAUGCAAAUCUGAAUGCUAGAUAUUUAUAAAUAUGUUUGACUCACAUUGCAUAUGAUACAUAUUAGGUAACAUUAAUGUUGAUUAUAAAAAUAUCUGGAAUUAAAAUAUUGCCUUCAUUUAUGGUGUUCAAACAAAGAAAUUGACUUUCCAUUGAAAGAUAAUUUUGUAUGAUUUGCCCUAAUAUUGCCAACUAUUUAGAUACUCCAAGUAUAAUUUCAUUACUCAAAAAGGGAAUAUUCCCUCAGUAAAUGUACACACACACACCACACAUUAAGGAGCUACUACGUGUAAUGUAAUUUCUAAUAAAAGCUGUUUUCACAUAACCUUGCAUGUAUGUGUUUGUAUCUAAGUGUUGGUGAGGAUCAUCAUUACUAUGUCUUUUCAGAAGAAUGAGAUUAGUAAUAUUAUGUACACGGUCUAGGAAAGUAUCUCCUAGCAUGUCACUGGGAGGGAAGCAAUCUUACAUGCAUAUGCUAAAUACACAGAUGAAGUAUGUCAUUUAAACAGGACAUAAAGAGUUCAUAUUAACAUAUUAGAGAUGUGUAUCCAAUUUCAAGUGGUAAACUAUUAACAAUGAAGAAAAAUUAAAAUCCAUUCUGCCAAACCAUCCAUUAACAAUGAGCAUAUGUGUGUGUGUGUGUGUGUGUGUGUGUGUGUGUGUGUGUGUGCAUAUAUAUAUAUAUGCACACAUCCUUCUACAUUCAGCAGUGAUGCCUCUUAUUUGAGAAGAAUUUUUGACUUUCUAUUCUCCAGGUAAGAAAAAUAUUUAAUGAUCUAUUUGACCUGUAUUUUGUUGGACCACUAUUAUCAAUAGCAAAUAAACUUGGUCAGAUCCCAUUUACAAUGUAUAAAGAAUGCAAAAGGAGCUCAACAUUAUCUAUAAAGUCAUCUGUAGUUUUAAAAUUUUAUAAUGGCUGCAGCUCCUGAAGGAGAGCUUUGAAACCAUUUGAAACUAUGAACACAGAUUGUUGGGAUCUCUGUCAAUUAUUAAUCAGGGUUCAAUAACCAUUACUUACAAUCUCUGGCUUCUGUUAGUAUAUCUGACUGACACAUAUAGCCUUUUCAUUUUUUUCUCCUAUGUUUAGAAAACUUGUGACAUAUUUCUCCCCAUUUGGUUUUAUUAUUUAUGGUUCAUUUUAUAUUUUUGGCAUCUGUGAAUACUUAGGUGUUAUGUUCUCAAUUUUAUCUUCCUUAUGCCUUCUGGGUUUAAUAUGUUUUAAGUGGUGAUAAAAAUCUGAGAACUUUAAAAUACACAUUUGCAUUUUUCUAGUAUUUAAGCUAUUUGUCUUUUCAUGGACAACAUUUUAAUAUCUCGAAUUUAUUUCCGUUUAAACUAUUGUGAAAAAAUAAUGACGUCUUCAGAUGACUAACCAGGUCUCAGGCUGUUUAUUGAAUGUCUCACUUUCAUAUUUUUAUAUUGUAUCUAUAUCUUUUACAUUGUUUCUAUAUCUUUUACAUUGUACCUAUAACAUGGGAAAGCCCUAUGAACUGUGAAACUAGUAAAUGAUGGUGCUCUCAGUUGGCAUAGGGUAUCUGCCUCCAAAACCAGUACACUGUCAAAGCAUUACUGCUGUGUUCUAUCUAGCAUGGAAAUCCAGGACUGAUACAAUUUGAUCCAUCGCUUCUGUCUAGGAUUCUCUGUAUCCUAUUUCAGUGGAUUGGGAAGACCCAGAGUAAGAAUGGAAAAUAGUCCCAGCAGAGUUAAGAUUCCUCUGAAAGUAGGAUAAUUAGUUUCCCUUUCAAAUUUAUUGACAUGUAAAUAUAGAUCUUUAGAGGAGUAGUCAUUUAUAUGUCCUAUUCAAUUAACUCACAUACAGAGUCUUGAAAAUGGGCAAAUUAUGUCAUAUAUACUAUUCACAUAAAAAAAAUCAAAAUUUGUAAUGUUAAAACGCUCAGAAUGGAUUCUGAUUGCUACUCAUAAUGACUGUCUCUACCACGAUGAAUACUAAUUGGUAGUGUUAACAGAUGUGAUUCUUUUUAACAGUAUAAAAGAAACUUAAUCUUGUGGUGUUUUGGUACCAUUUGUCUGUGUUAUCUUAGAUUUCUCACUUAUUCAAACCUCAGGGCUCAGGCUCCAAGGUGGUGACUCGUUUUAAUUAUGAUUGGGAUGGAUAUUGAAUUGAGUGUUGUAGUGUAAUUGAUCCUGAGAAGCACAAAGCAAAUAUGUCCUAUGGAAACACAGUUACCCAUGUGCCAUAUGUAUAUUUGCUUGCUUAAAGUAGCUCUCUUCUGGCACUGAAUUUAUUGUGUGUGCAACCAUGGCUUUUGUUUUCAUAUCUGCAUCUGAGAAAUUUUAUGUGGACCUUUCACUUCCUGUGUCACAGUUUCAAUUUAUCCAUUCAAAGAUCUUAAUCAAUAGUUUGUUGAAUAGAAUUAAAAAAUAGGGGUUUCUUUUCUGGAAAGAAGGUGACAAAUAAUUCCUUUUAAAAAGAUGUCGUUUAUUGGGGGUGGAGGUUAUAAAGCCAAAACUGAGGUGUUCAGGUGGAAGAAAGAAGAUUAGACAAAAAAAAAAAAAAAAAAAGAGUGAGUGAGUGAGAGAGAAAGAAAUGGAGAGAGAGAAAGAGAGAGAUCUCCCUGCCACCUAUUGUUCUUGCUCAGACAAAUCCUUGCUCCCAGAUUGUCCUGAGGAAUAGGAAUGAUCAUGACAUCAAACCUUUUCUUCUCACUGUGUAUCAGCCACUGUGGACCCAGGGAAAACAUUCCUCCAUCCUCCACUCAAAUGGCAGACUGCCACAGCACAUUAUUUAUCUCAUAUCAUCACUCCAGAUUUCGUGAGUGAGAAUACACUGUCUUUUCUUUCUCUCUCUCUUGUUUGUGAAUCACAUAAGAAACACUCUAGAAAUCACCAUAGAAACCUUCAUUUCUGUGUCUAUGAUGAAGGCAAAUGACCUGUUACUCCUACUCCAAACUUGGAAUUAAGGGAAUGAGUUAACUUCAAAGUUUAAGCUAUGGACAACAUGAUCUUAACUUUCUCCUCUCUCCUGUUCUCACUCACUGUGAUGGCUAAUUGUGUCUACAUCUAGGUCAACUAAAACCCAAGCAACUGUGUACAAUGGGGAAGGCAGUGAUUUUGGUCAUAUCAUUUGAAGUAUGAAAACCUACCUAAAUAAUAACAUUUGAGGGGUUCCAGCCCUUAGUCCAGUGCUUGGCUACGAGUAUCUGCAUCUGCCUCAGUCAGCUACAGGUUGAGCCUCUCAAAGGGUUUGGUGCCCACCAAUGGCAUGGAUCCCAAGAAGGGAAUGGGUGCAAAGUGACAGCCAGAGUUCAGUGGCCAACUGGAAAGUGACAAGAACCACAGAACUAAAAUGAAAUACUGAGUUUCUUUCUUUCAAUCAUCCAUUCUAUUUAUUUAUUUUAUCAUUCAUUCAUUCAUUUCUUUGUUUCUAUGGCCUUGAGACUGAACCAAGGGCCUCACAUGUACAAGCCAAGUGAGCUAACUCUGAGCUACACCCAGCAUAGUGAUCUUUCAUAAAACAAAACAAAACCAUUUAUAUUUUGAAUUAUAACAACAGUCCAUGGUGAGAAGUGGUUAAAAUUGUGUUGUUACAUUAUACAUUAUAGUAGUCCAACUAUACAGAUACUAUAGAUCUUCUAAAUUAAGAUCUAUCUUGGAAAAAUAGCCUGAAAGUGUAGAAACCUAGAAUCCCACCUGACCCUAAAUAAAUCUAUAAUUAUACACAAUAAAUAUACAUAAUUAUCUUGGAUUUAAUUAAAUGACAUUUUUCUUCCUAAUUUUAUGCACUUAAUUCUUUUGCCUUUAAGAUUUAUGAUUUUCACAUUUUUUCAAAGAUGGAAACUGUAGGCAUAUUUACUCUAUAUAAACAUUUAAAAUUAAUAAGAUCAUUAUCUACAAUGCAUUAAUGAUUUGGAGCUGAGGGUCUCAAGUCAUUCCAGCUGAAGUCUGGUCGAAAAUCCUGAUGGGAUCAUCUUGAUUGGAUUUUUAUUCCUCUUAACCUUAAUAUCUAUCAAGAGACAAAGUCAGAUCUGAUAUGAAGUCUAGCCUAUAUCGUUGUAAUUCAUGGAGAUUCUCCUUGAUUCACGGUUUGUCAAACUUUGCUUAUUCAGCACAAUUCAAAAAGAAAUGGCUGAUCAUACACAGUAUGUUUGAGGCUAAACAGAUUACCUCUGACUAGGGGUAAAAUACAUCAUUUCCUCUCGUGGAAGCAAGAGCUUAUGCUUCAUCACUUAGGGUCUCUGAAAGCAAUAGCACAGUACUUGAAGUAAUCAUCCCUCAGUGAGGACCAAGCCACUUGCCCACAUCAGAUCAGAGGUAAUAUCCUUCAUAUGCCUUUCCAAUUGUACUGAUGCUGAUGGUCUUGGAUGGUUUUCUGAAGUUUCUGGGGCCCAUCUGGUCUUCUCCAUGAAGAGGCAAGUUUUCUCAUAUGAUACACUGUUUCUAGUAGAUUGCCUUUGCUCGGUAGCUAAAUAAACUCAGCUGAGACAACAAGAGUCUCUCUAUUGAAAUAGGCCUUGCUUGUAAAAUGAAUUCUACUUUUCUUUCAUAGCUAAUAAUGUUACUUCAAAGUAAUUAUCUAAGAGAGAUUUAGUUUCCCAUAAAAUAUAGGCUGAACAGGCACUGAACUAGUUGGCAAUGUAGAUGCAGACAGUGGUCAGAAUGGUAAACUCAGUGGAUGCUGAGUGUUAUGGAGUCAUUAGAAUAAUGUUCCAAUUACUUCCAUAGUGUAUUUGAACAAGAGUGAACUUGUAACCAAGGAGGGAAGAAGGAGGAGAGAAGGGAACAAGGAUAGAGAGAGAGAGAAAGGGAGACAUAUAUAGAGAAACAGAGAGAGAUAGAAUGACACAGAAUCUGAGAUAAUCAGAGACUCACAAACACAAACACAGAGGGUGGGGAAUAACCUUUUUUUUUUCAAGGGGCGUCAACACCCAGAGUUAGCUGACUUGCCAGAGAGAAAAUUCUAACUUCAAGGCAGAGGUUUUGAUAGCAGAGAAGGGGCUGCGGAAUCACCUGUUUGAUUUCAGUUGGCAGCACGCAGGUAGAGUUAGGUUUAUGACUCUGCCCCUGCAGGACUUUUUACAUUUCAACUUCCAAAGCUACAGCUUUCUCUGAAGACUUAAUUUGAACGAUUGUGAUGUAAUUCAUGGGAGCUACAUUACCCAUGUAUAGGCAUCUCAUGUAGUUCAAACAACUGUAGCGAAGGCAACUUCCUAGUGUCUAACAUAUAUAAGAAAAUGCUUGAGGGGCUUCAGAGUCCUUUAGCAUUUUAUUGUAAAACAGCAAUUUGCAUUAUUUCCUUAGCUUAGCAUAAAAUGAAAAUAAAUUUAAGUCCCAUAUUGCCAAUUUUUUUUUCUGCCAUCACCAACUUGAGUACUUAUCCAUCCUGAAUUUGAAAUCAAAACGCUUUGAAAUCGGCUUAUGAGCCUCUUUGUUUUAGGGAGGGAAAGUCCCACUAAAGCAAACUGAAGAGAAAGAGGAGAUAAUAGGGCUAGGAAAGCAACCUCUUGGCAGAGAGGAACAAGAGCAGUGGAAUAAUUUAAUUGCUCAUCAGCUAAUUAUACGGUAUUAUAAUGUUAAUGUGUCUUCAUCAUGACAUUGUAAUAGGUAUAGAUUGAAGCAUAUGAAAAAGAAAGUGUUGGUGCAGUAAUUAUAAGUAAGAGUGGGGCUGUUAGAGUAAUUAUACGCUUCGUCUGGUAAUUAACGUAUUGUUCAACUUGAGAUGGAGAACAAAGAGUGAAAAAGUUAAAUAUUGAAGGACAUGCCUUUGACACUCCAGAGAUGUCUCUGAGCUUUUGAAGAGAGAGACAGAGACAGAGAGAGAGAGAGACAGAGAGACAGAGAGACAGACAGAGAUUAUUCUGUAUCAAUACUGUUAUUUUCUGGUUCUACCUUUGAUGAUUUUUUAUGUUGCAGUCACAUAUGGCAUAAGCGAACACAGGGAUUUAAGUAUUAGAGGCUUCUGGGUUUACAUUUUUAUGUUCUGUGAUCCAUGUUGCUGCUAUUUUUUCUUCAGUUAUGGCUCAUUUUGUACUUCUUAAGUGAACUAAAAAUUUCAAAAUUAAAUCACAGUAAAAUGGAAUAGGUAUGUGAAGUAUUCUGUCAAUAGAAAAUGAAGGUAUAUUUUACAUAGCGAAUAGAUCCUUUUGAGAGAGUUAGUAGGGUUUCUCUGACUUUUAAGUGUCUUUCUAAUUUCAAUCUUAGACCAAUAAUAUAUAUGCUUUAGAACAAGGAAUCAAUGGUGAGCAAGAAGUCAGUAGAUACAAUUAGUCACUAGUUCAUGAGUUUCAAACAGCUACCUGGUGCUAGCCUGCACUGAACAAUUGCCCCAAGUUAGCACCUGUUCUCCAUGCCCCACUUCUUGUUAUCAUCCAGUUACAAUUGGAAGGCCUACUCAGGCAGAGAGGUUAAGGAACGUGUGCUAAUUACUUAUCUGCUAGUGAGAAAUGCUGGGAUUUGAACUGGCAGUUCUGAUCUUCAACACUGCUAAGCACUGUAUUCUACCUACUUCUCCUAGGUAUCUAUUUGCAGAGUGUUAAGAAGUAACCAGAUGGCUUCUAUUUUCGGAUUGGAAUACAGUGAUGAAGCAAGGUUUAAUGAGUUGAUAAGGGGGAGUCUGACAGGGUCUGUGUUGAGAGAGAAGGUGGUUAAAAGGAUGAAAGUUGGAAAUGCCAAAGCUAGAGCAUUGUCUGGUUGCAGUGCAAGGGCCAUGGCCUCUCUCCAGGGAGAGAUCUGAUUUUUGUUAAGAUGAGAUCACAAGCAACAAGGAGUUCAGAACUUAAAUUUCAUUGAGAUACUCUAAGGUGAAACUACUCAAUGCACUUGAUUUCCACAGAACCUUGAAUAAAACAUUUCGAAACCAUUUUGCUCUAUGGACAAAUCCAGGAAGCCGCUAACCCCUCUAAUUUGUUUCUCAUGUAGUAAAGGAGAGUGUGAACCUGCUAAGUUACAUUGUAUUUUGAGAGAGAGCUGUACAACUAUCAAUAACAAAGCUAAUGGAUUUAUACUCGUUAUAAAGAAUAGCAUUUUUAAAACUUUUAUAAAUGAUCAUAUAACAUUGAGUUAAUGGGCAAAAUAAAACAUACAAAUAAAAAUCAUUAAUAAACAAUUGAAAAUCACCUUAUUACAAUAUGUCAAUUUUCAGAGUUCUGGUUGAGUGUUACUUUAAAUUUGUAAAAACUAAUCCCUAACAUAAGCCCUAAUAAAGCGAUGCACAGAUUGAAGAAGGUAAACUUAGCGGAAGGUGCUUAUGCCUGAGGCACUUGUAGUAAAACAGCCACCUACUGAUUUAGACACUGUAUUGUCAAGUUCAAGUAUGUACUUUAACUUGUUUGCACUUUGAAGGCAUCUUCUUAUUUUUUAUGAUCAAUUUUACCAAUUUUUUUUCAAAAUUAGAAACAUAAAUAAAUAUUUAAAAGAUGAGAGAUAGAAGAUGCAGUCCAAGGUUGAUAGGAGCAGAAAUAAGAUUCCUUAUCUCAAAAUAUGGUGGACAGUGAGAUCCAACUUGUCCCCUUCUCUGCAUAUAUGUGCAGUCUCACAGGCAUCCACAUCUGCACAUGUCCUGCAAACACACAUGAACUGGUUUUUUAAUUGAAAACUGAUUUUUGCUAAAUUUGCUAAAGUAAGCUGCACAAGUUUUCAGCAUAAUUCUAAAAGAGAUAAGAGAUGGCAGGACAUAUUUUGCUGAUAAGCAGCAGGUAAAACUCUUUGGAAGGUGCCUGAUAGAGUCACAUGGACUUAUCCUGUGGCUGAUCUGAAUGUAGCAUUGCUAUACACGAGGAGGAGUUUGAAACCAGAGCGAUCCCCUGGACAGAGUCCAUUAACCUCUCUGAAUGUUAUUUUCCCUAUUGUGAGGAGAGGUAAUAAUAAUUCCCAGGCUUCAGGGUUGUUGGGAAAUUAAAAAUGCAUUUAAAAGGUUCAUCACAGGAACUGGCACGUUGGAAUUGUUCAGUUAAGUUGGCUGCGAUUACUGCUGUUCAGCAGAAGAACAUUACUGAGCAAUGCAAAGCACUGCUUAAUAAGACGUUCUUAAAAGUUUCAAACAAAUCGGUGGAAUUAUGUUGUGACUUUCUUUUAAAAUAUUAAUUAUAGUUGUCCACCAUCUGUAAUGAAAAAGGUACUAAGCAUUAAAGAGACAAAAAUGCAGUCAUAUAAAGCAACCUCUCGUCAAGACCCUGCUCAGAGGGAAGAGAAUUGUAAUUCUCAGAGUUAGUUCAGCCAUAUACAAAGGAAAUUGAUGUUAUGUCUGUUGUUUCCCCAAGUCAUAACUCAAAGGGAAUGAAUAUAACAUAUACCAUCAGCACCCUUCAGGAGAAAUUACAGUCCAAAUAAAAUGCAUACAGACACUUACACACAUGUAAAGAUACACAAACUGAUUACAAAACAGACCAUAAUUAUUUGCUCUAUUAUUUUUCAGAUUACUGUCUAUUGAGCCCUCACAGACUUCCUUGGGAUGGUGGUUUGGACUGAAUAGCCUUUUUUUUUUCUAAUCCUGUGAUGUUCUAAACCAACAAAGCAUGCUUAUAUCAUGUUUAUAUUCUUUAAACUAUAGCACAUUUCCCGGGAUAUUGUUUGCACUCAGUAUAUACUCACUGAGGAAAUGAGGAAAAUAACAAGCUUUUUUGUCAUUUUGAGAAAGAACCCAGUUUAAUAAUAGCAUUAUUGAUCAUUAAAAUCUACAACAGUUCACCAAUCACCAAUUCUGUAUGACCUUAAGUGUUUUCUUUCCCUGAACAGAAAAAUGUAUUGCGAUAAUCGCAUGACUAGUGAUAUUUUAAAAGGUAUUAACAAUGCUCACGAUUGAACCAAGGACUUUGCCUGGGACCGUUUUCUCCAUCCAGCUUUCUUUGUGUACUUAUAUCAAUUUUAUUUAUCUUUCUAUAUUGUAACCAUUUCAUAGAUCUGCUAACAUACAAAGAAAUAAGGUUUGAGCUUAAAAUGGAGAGUUUAUUUAAUAAUUGAAACGAUAAUUAGUCAUGUUUUUCUGUCAUGUUUUGUUUUCUGUGUUCAUCUCUCUCUCUGGUACUUAGCAGGACACUCUCUAUUGCACCUUUUCCUCCCUAAGCUUUAUGUCAUGUUUAUGUGAUAGAGUGAAAUGAAAAACAAUUGAAAGGCCUGUUUUCCUUUUUUUUUUUUUUUUUUAGGCAGA